rnacentral:tRNA from 1 species
GCCCCUUUAGCUCAGUUGGUAGAGCGCGGCACUAGUAUUUAUGGUAUGCCGAGGUCAUCAGUUCAACUCUGAUAGGGGGCA